rnacentral:rRNA from 1 species
UGCAGUCGAGGGGUAGCAGGGCUUCGGCCGCUGACGACCGGCAAACGGGUGCGGAACACGUACGCAACCUUCCCAAAACUGGUGAAUAGCCCUCCGAAAGGAGGAUUAAUACACCGUAACAUAAUGAAGUGGCAUCACUUUAUUAUUAUAGCUCCGGCGGUUUUGGAUGGGCGUGCGCCUGAUUAGGUAGUUGGCGGGGUAACGGCCCACCAAGCCUGCGAUCAGUAACUGGUGUGAGAGCACGACCAGUCACACGGGCACUGAGACACGGGCCCGACUCCUACGGGAGGCAGCAGUAAGGAAUAUUGGUCAAUGGACGAAAGUCUGAACCAGCCAUGCCGCGUGAAGGAUGAAGGUCCUCUGGAUUGUAAACUUCUUUUAUCUGGGACGAAAAAAGGAAAUUCUUUUCCACUUGACGGUACCAGAGGAAUAAGCACCGGCUAACUCCGUGCCAGCAGCCGCGGUAAUACGGAGGGUGCAAGCGUUAUCCGGAUUUACUGGGUUUAAAGGGUGCGUAGGUGGGCAGUUAAGUCAGUGGUGAAAUCUCCGAGCUUAACUCGGAAACUGCCAUUGAUACUAUCUGUCUUGAAUAUUCUGGAGGUGAGCGGAAUAUGUCAUGUAGCGGCGAAAUGCUUAGAUAUGACAUAGAACACCAAUUGCGAAGGCAGCUCAUUACACGAAUAUUGACACUCAGGCACGAAAGCGUGGGGAUCAAACAGGAUUAGAUACCCUGGUAGUCCACGCCCUAAACGAUGGAUACUCGACAUACGCGAUACACAGUGUGUGUCUGAGCGAAAGCAUUAAGUAUCCCA